ensembl:lncRNA
CAGACACACGCACGUAAACAUGCACGUGCAUCCACACAAACAUCUAGACAGCUACUAGUGUGACAGGCAGGUGUAAGAGACAGCAGUCGGUGCCAGUCGUUGCAGGAUGUCGGAUGCGAUGCCUUCCAGUAUGAAGAUCCUUCUAGGCUUGGGACUGCUCACCCUAUUGCUGCCGUCAGGUACAUAUGACAGGACGCUCUGAGGAUUCAGGGGAUGAUCCGUGUAUUGUUGUUAUUAGAUGUGUUAUGUAUAUCUAUAUCAUUUUAUUUCAUUCAACUUUAUUUUGUUUUCAUUUAUCAGUCUGAAUCCUUUGCUUUUUGGCUCUUGAGGGAAUUUUCCCAAGGAGGGAUCAAUACAGUUUAUCUUAUUUCUUAUCUUAAAUAUAAAUAUGUCUUGUAUGACAGUGAAGGUUUGUCUCUAGCCUAUAUCCUAAUUUGUGAAGUAGUUUGAUGUUUUCUAGAGAAUAGUGAUCGUACGAAUCGUGUGUUUUAUUAAGUGAAGUGCUGCUUAAUGUAGAUGAGAUUUCCGUUUGUCUGUCUGACUGUCUCUGUCUGUCAUGCGUUCCAAGAUGCAUGCGCCUCACAAUCCGAUACAAAGAAGGUAUGAAAUGAACAAAGGUGGAGCAGGCUAUUUAUAUUGAAGCUGUUCUUUUUGAUCACAGGCCGAACAGGUUUAGUAUGGCGGCAUUGGGGGCUCUUUCUCUUCCUCCAUUGGUUUUGCUACCUUUGACACUUUGAUUGGUUUUCUGAUUGAGAAGUUAAAAGUAUUGUGGGUUGUUACUAGUUCUCUCGUAAAAAUCAGGCGAGGUUAAGGGUUAGAACAUUAAAUAAUGAAUCCUUACAGCAUCAAUGAUCUAGAUCAUUAGAUCACUGACUGAGCUAGAAAUCCAGAGAAGCUUAUCCGGUCAUUUCCAUAGCAUAGCAUAGCAUCGAAUACGUUCCCUGUUUUCAGUGUGAAAGGGGACACAGACAAAGGCCAGGUAGGCAUCUGCUAUUAUGGGAGAGAUUUAUCAUAGGUUUGAAGGAAGUUUAAGCAUUGUCUGACAUAGAAAUCUGCCAUCACCAAUCAAGGUUGAUAAGAUUCAACUUUUCUAAUCCGGCUCUGGGGAAAUUCUGUUGUAAAGUUCAUGUUCGAUGUUGCUUCAGUGGUUAUUCCUUCACCCCGUACCUUUCUGAUCACUACUAGGUUAAGUUUGGUUCGCAACCCUUUGAGACUAUAUUUGUAUCUUCACUAUGUGUGUGUGUGUGUGUGUGUGUGUGUGUGUGUGUGUGUGUGUGUGUGUGUGUGUGUGUGUGUGUGUGUGUGUGUGUGUGUGUGUGUGUGUGUGUGUGUGUGUGGACAUUGUAACAUAGUAUUGCUUUACUCUCAUGUCUCCAGCACUGCCUUUGCGUUGCUACGUGUGCAGCACUGCUCCGACCAAUGAGCAAUGCAACCGGAAUAACCAAACCUGCCCGCCAUUGGAGAACCGCUGUUUGACCAUCAUAGACAUUCGAGGCUCUUCCAGGACCAUCUCCAAACAGUGUGCCACCCCGUCCACCUGCACGGGGGGUUGUGACCACAUCGGGGCUGGACGCGAACGGUGACGGCGUCCUGGCAGAAUGCUGCAGAAACAGUAACCUCUGUAAUGUCAACGGGGCCGGUAGCAUCUCCGCCCGCAAGGCCCUGCCGGCGCUGUCCCUGCUGGUGCUGCUGGGACUGGUGGCGCAGUAAGACGUUCACAGAGGCGCACUUAUGCAAUACGUCACGUAUCGCAAAGUGAUUUUAUCAUGGGUGUUACCCACUGUCUUAUAAUUAUAUACUCUAUCGAAUGCUGCUUUGAUUCAUCAUGAGGAAACCCGUUGGACUUGCUAGAAGUUCAACUGGUUUGUUUGGUUUAAUCUUUUGAUAAUGGGAGAACGCAGGUUUUUGAAGCGAGGGACUCGGUUCUGGGGUGACCGGAGGAAAUGUUGGCCUACAGGACAUGGAGCAGAGAGAGGUUAAAUAAAUAAACACAAUUAAAUGGAGAAAUAGUGACCAGGUCCCAUUGAUCACUAGCUGCUGUUUCAUUACAGCCCUGAUGACUUAUUACACUACACACAUCAGUUAGUAUCGGUGGCUACGUUUUUUUAAUUGACUGUUAACCUUUAUACAUCAUUAUUAUUUACUUUAAAUAUACUUCAAUUGAAAUGGUUGCGUCCUUGGAAAAAAUAAAUGUGUGUUGUGAACAUCAGCAAUAUUUGAUCAUAAUUUCACUUGAAUACCCUGCUCAGAAAUAGGACUUUCAAUAAGAAUCUUAUAAAAUAUAUGUAUAAAGAUGCAGACACUAAGGAGACUUGUAUGUUGGCUGAUACUUAAUAAAAGCUUCAAACAGACAGAACAGUGGACACUUCAUUCUUUUAUUAUCUUACCCCCUCCCUCUCUCCAAUAUAGAGGCCGGGGACGCAAAACAAAAUAAAAUACAAAACAAUAAACAGUGUUUACUAGUAUAAGUACUGUACAGGAUACCAGUGAAUCACAACGGUGGUGCAACGAGAACCGGGGGCGGAGUUACAGCACCAGCGCGUCUCCUCCUCCGGUGAGUCCGGUACAGCAGUGCUGGCAGAGCUCCCCCUGGUGGCCGUUAAGGGUAUAUAUCAACAUAGAGGAGAACCAAUGGAGGGAGAGGGGGUUGUUUUGUGCUGCACAGCUUCACCAUGACUUCAGUAUGAUGCCGUCUCUCAACCAGAGCCACGCUGCUUCCAGUUGUGGGGAGGCCUGGUGUGUGUGUGGGAUUAGGGGGGAAGGUUCCGCCGUGAUAUCCUGCAUGUGUGCACGUGCGUGUGUUUGUGUGUGUGUCUGUGGGAGGGGGGUGUUCGCUUGCCAGUGACACAAGUUGAGAAAUACGACAUCACGUAAAAAAUGGAGGAAAAAAAAAAUAAAGCGCACCGCUAUUCCAGUUGGUGUAGUUCCUCCGAUUGUAGUCGGGUGCAUUGUCUUUGCG